UACAGAGGUCUCGAGCGUUGUUCGGAAUUACUGGGCGUAAAGAGUGUGUAGGCGGUGUUCCCAGUCUGUUGUGAAAUCUCCCGGCUUAACUGGGAGGGUGCAGCGGAAACUAGAAUGCUAGAGGGUGGGAGAGGUAAGCGGAAUUCCUGGUGUAGCGGUGAAAUGCGUAGAUAUCAGGAGGAACACCUGUGGUGUAGACAGCUUACUGGACCACUUCUGACGCUGAGACACGAAAGCGUGGGUAGCAAACAGG
rnacentral:rRNA from 1 species